AGAUUGAACGCUGGCGGCAUGCUUUACACAUGCAAGUCGAACGGUAACAGGCCGCAAGGUGCUGACGAGUGGCGAACGGGUGAGUAAUGCAUCGGAACGUGCCCAGUCGUGGGGGAUAACGCAGCGAAAGCUGUGCUAAUACCGCAUACGAUCUAUGGAUGAAAGCGGGGGACCGAAAGGCCUCGCGCGAUUGGAGCGGCCGAUGUCAGAUUAGCUAGUUGGUGGGGUAAAGGCCCACCAAGGCGACGAUCUGUAGCUGGUCUGAGAGGACGACCAGCCACACUGGAACUGAGACACGGUCCAGACUCCUACGGGAGCAGCAGUGGGAAUUUUGGACAAUGGGCGCAAGCCUGAUCCAGCAAUGCGCUGCAGGAGAGCUCGGUGUAAACUGCUUUGUACGAACGAACGGUCUGGUAAUACCGUCGGCUAAUGUACGGUACCGUAAGAAGUAAG
rnacentral:rRNA from 1 species